CACUCCUGCGGGAGGCAGCAGUGGGGAAUAUUGGACAAUGGGCGCAAGCCUGAUCCAGCCAUGCCGCGUGAGUGAUGAAGGCCCUAGGGUUGUAAAGCUCUUUCACCGGUGAAGAUAAUGACGGUAACCGGAGAAGAAGCCCCGGCUAACUUCGUGCCAGCAGCCGCGGUAAUACGAAGGGGGCUAGCGUUGUUCGGAUUUACUGGGCGUAAAGCGCACGUAGGCGGACUAUUAAGUCAGGGGUGAAAUCCCGGGGCUCAACCCCGGAACUGCCUUUGAUACUGGUAGUCUUGAGUUCGAGAGAGGUGAGUGGAAUUCCGAGUGUAGAGGUGAAAUUCGUAGAUAUUCGGAGGAACACCAGUGGCGAAGGCGGCUCACUGGCUCGAUACUGACGCUGAGGUGCGAAAGCGUGGGGAGCAAACAGGAUUAGAUACCCGUGUAGUCCCAUGA
rnacentral:rRNA from 1 species